UUUCCGUAGGUGAACCUGCGGAAGGAUCAUUAAUGAGUUGUCAUGGGGUUCGAUGCUGGCAGCCAAUUUUUGGAUGCAUGUGCUUGCCCUAACAAUCAUCUUCCAAACACCUGUGCACAUUCUUGAGGGAGUCUUGAGUUGGUUGCCGCUCUUGGGUGAUUUUCUCACAUUCCCUUAAACCAUUAUACGCUAUUAACAAUGUUGAACGUGCUCUGUGCCGCAAGGCUAUUAAUAUAAUACAACUUUUAACAACGGAUCUCUUGGCUCUC
rnacentral:misc_RNA from 1 species